UAACGAAUAUUCCGCAAUGGACGAAAGUCUGACGGAGCAAUGCCGCGUGCAGGAUGAAGCGGUUUCGCCGUGUAAACUGCUGUCAGGGGCAGGAAAAACUGAUCCGCCCCAAAGGAAGAGACAGCUAACCCUGUGCCAGCAGCCGCGGUAAUACAGGGGUCUCGAGCGUUAAUCGGAAUCACUGGGCUUAAAGGGUGCGUAGGCGGAUCCGUAAGCGCUUUGUGAAAUCCCCCGGCUCAACCGGGGAACUGCAGGGCGAACUGCGGAUCUUGAGGAAACUAGAGGCCGGUAGAACGAUUGGUGGAGCGGUGGAAUGCGUAGAUAUCAAUCGGAAUGCCAAAAGUGAAGACAGCCGGCUGGGGUUUUCCUGACGCUGAGGCACGAAAGCGUGGGGAGCAAACCGGAUUAGAUACCCCGGUAGUCC
rnacentral:rRNA from 1 species